rnacentral:rRNA from 1 species
AAAUUGAAGAGUUUGAUCAUGGCUCAGAUUGAACGCUGGCGGCAGGCCUAACACAUGCAAGUCGAACGGUAACAGAAAGCAGCUUGCUGCUUUGCUGACGAGUGGCGGACGGGUGAGUAAUGUCUGGGAAACUGCCUGGUGGAGGGGGAUAACUACUGGAAACGGUAGCUAAUACCGCAUAACGUCGCAAGACCAAAGAGGGGGACCUUCGGGCCUCUUGCCAUCGGAUGUGCCCAGAUGGGAUUAGCUAGUAGGUGGGGUAACGGCUCACC